GCUGUGAUGGCCGAGUGCUUAAUGCGUUGGACUCGAAAUCCAAUAGGGUCUCCCCGCGCAGGUUCGAACCCUGCUCGCAGCG
rnacentral:tRNA from 1 species